GGUGGCUCACUGGUAGAGCGCUAGCCUUGCAUGCAUGAGGCCCUGGGUUCGUUUCCCCAGCACCA
rfam:Dipodomys ordii contig_23702, whole genome shotgun sequence.